rnacentral:rRNA from 1 species
CAAUAGCGUAUAUUAAAGUUGUUGCAGUUAAAAAGCUCGUAGUUGGAUUUCUGUGAGAGUGCCGGUGUCGGCUGAUGCUUGUACGCAGGCGCUCUUACAUCCUUCUGUUAACUGUUCUUGGCAUUUUAUUGCUGGUUCAGGGCUCAGAUAUUUUACCUUGAGAAAAUUAGAGUGUUUCAGGCAGGCUUAUGCCGGAAUACAUUAGCAUGGAAUAAUGGAACAGGACCUGUGCGUCUCUCGGGGCGCCGGUCUCCGUUGUUGGUUUCGGGGACUAAUGUAAUGAUUAAUAGGGGUAGUUGGGGGCAUUAGUAUUUAAUAGUCAGAGGUGAAAUUCUCGGAUUUGUUAAAGACUAACUUAUGCGAAAGCAUUUGCCAAGGAUGUUUUCAUUAA